rnacentral:rRNA from 1 species
AUACGUAGGUGGCAAGCGUUGUCCGGAUUUACUGGGCGUAAAGGAUGCGUAGGCGGAUACUUAAGUCAGAUGUGAAAAUCCCGGGCUUAACUUGGGAACUGCAUUUGAAACUGGGUAUCUAGAGUGCGGGAGAGGAAAGUGGAAUUCCUAGUGUAGCGGUGAAAUGCGUAGAGAUUAGGAAGAACACCAGUGGCGAAGGCGACUUUCUGGACCGUAACUGACGCUGAGGCAUGAAAGCGUGGGGAGC